rnacentral:rRNA from 1 species
UACGUAGGGGGCUAGCGUUGUCCGGAAUCAUUGGGCGUAAAGAGCGUGUAGGCGGUCCGGUAAGUCCGCUGUGAAAGUCGGGGGCUCAACCCUCGAAUGCCGGUGGAUACUGUCGGGCUAGAGUGCGGAAGAGGCGAGUGGAAUUCCCGGUGUAGCGGUGAAAUGCGCAGAUAUCGGGAGGAACACCAGUAGCGAAGGCGGCUCGCUGGGCCACACCUGACGCUGAGACGCGAAAGCGUGGGGAGCGAACAGG